CUUGACCUCAAAUCAGGCGGGACUACCCGCUGAACUUAAGCAUAUCAUA
rnacentral:rRNA from 2 species